rnacentral:ncRNA from 1 species
CUAUGGCCAAAAAAGGUCAUGGCGGAAGGAG